GUUGCAUGAGCUGUUGAUGUUGGGAAUGUUCCGGUGCUUCUCGGCCCACUGGAAUUUCAAAUGCAAUGGUAAGUAGGGUUGAAAUCAUCGCUAGGGGAUUUCAUGCAACAGGCAUGAACCUGUACUGCACAUCUUUCUUCUUUGUUGCCGAAAUAUUUCCACUGUCACUGCUCAGCCGCUGCAAUCAUCGCUAGGGGAGGUCGUUGCCGGAGCAAGGGUUUACAGAGCAUCAUCUGGUCCAUUCUUCAUCUCCAAUCAAGAGGUGUAACUGUAGAUCCAUUGACAAAAAAUCCAACCGCAAAUGAAGAAGUCUAGCAAAGCCUGAUGAAGGUAUUUUUGCCUUAAACCCACUCAUUUGUUUUAGUUUAAAAUUGUACAAAACCUAAUCAACUCAUCAUAUUGUGUAGACUCAUUUUUGGGCACGAUCAUUUUGGACACAAGUUUAUUGUCAUUGGGAUGGGUCAGAAUACAUUUAUAGAGGAACACAACCAACCAGGGACAUGGGAUACUCACUUGAAAUGGGUCUUGAUGAUCAUGUCCCUAUUUUAGUUAGUCCACCACUAGUUAUCAUGUUAGAUGAUCAAGGGACACCAACAACUGGGGAAUCUCUCUCCAGUCCCUACACUGUUGAACCCAAUGAUGAUGUAUUAGAGAUGCUUGACCGUAAGAGGAGAAUUGGCAAAUAACCUACUAGCAUGAAGAAAGGGAAGAAACAACGGCUUCCGCUUGCACUUGAUUUAAUGAUUAAGUCAUGAGUAGAGUCCAAUAAAAAGAGACUUGAAAUCUUAGAGAAGGAAAGUUCACGAGAUCUUGAUAAGUAGCAUGAAAUGAAAAUGGAGAAGGAAAUUGUAGUACAAAGGGAAACAAUGAUAGAAAUAGAAAGGGCAAAGGUUCGAGAAAUGAAGAAGAAAAGAACCAAGGGAUAGAUUUGACAAGGCUCGUGAGAAGGAGCAAAUAGAGGAAUGUAUUGAAAUCCUUAAUUCCAUAUUUCAGGUUGAGAAAUUAUCUCCAGAUUGCUAUUUUAAGGUAACCAAGUUGUUUGUGGAAGAGAAAUGGAGGAACACUUUCCUUGCUAUUCCUCUAGGGAUUAGGAGUUUUUGGCUCAAUGGAUUGGAUUAUGAGCCACCGAACCCAUGAUUUAUUGAAGACAUUUUUUUUUGUGCUUGGUUGACUUUGAACACCUUUUAGACUAAUGGUUUCUUUUUUUAUUUUAUUGUAGUAAUGGGUGAUGACCUCUUAUGCUUACAUGCACUCCCAUUUGUUUUGGAUGAUGACACACUUUUGUUACAUGUUAGUAUUUACAUGAUUAUAGGCUAGUUGUAACCAUGGUGUGCAAUGCUUAUUUUGAUUUCAUUACUUAUAAUGUUGUAGUUUGUCAUACAACAAUAUUCUAUGGAUCCUCAUCAGUAUCGACGAAAAAGGCAUAUUAUUGAUUCAUACUCAAACGACAAUGAAAUGAUAAACUUCAUUAUGACUUCUUGCAUAUUACACUUAUAUUGUUCACAAACAAAAAGGUAGCGUUGCAUGACUUUUUCUUUGACUGGACAUACUUAUAUGUGGACGGAAGUCCUCAUUGACUUAGAACACGCAGAUAGAUGGACAUGGUUAGAGACCGAAUUGCUUUUGAGCAAUGGAACAGGUAUCAAAGGUCUACCCGAUGGUUUACAUAAAUUUGUGGGUUAUGCCUAGGGGUGUCAGCGGUAUUCGAAAAUCCGAUUUUGAAUUCGAAAUUCAGCAUAAUCGAAUCAAAUUCGGAUAAUUUGAAUAUCUAAUCGGUCGAAUUCAGAUAUUCUAUUCAUACUGAAUAGCUAGUCGGAUUCGA